rnacentral:rRNA from 1 species
CGGAGGGGGCGAGCGUUAUUCGGAAUUAUUGGGCGUAAAGGGCGCGUAGGCGGCUUGAUAAGUCAAAGGUGAAAUCCCUCGGCUCAACUGAGGAACUGCCUUUGAAACUAUCUGGCUUGAGGCCGGGAGGGGGUGGCGGAAUUCCCAGUGUAGCGGUGAAAUGCGUAGAUAUUGGGAGGAACACCAGUGGCGAAGGCGGCCACCUGGACCGGUUCUGACGCUGAUGCGCGAAAGCGUGGGUAGCAAACAGGAUUAGAUACCCUGGUAGUCCACGCUGUAAACGAUGGGUGCUCGGUGUCGCGGGUAUCGACCCCUGCGGUGCCUUAGCUAACGCGUUAAGCACCCCGCCUGGGGAGUACGGUCGCAAGGCUG